rnacentral:rRNA from 1 species
CGGGCGCACGGCGGAUGCCUUGGCACAGGGAGCCGAUGAAGGACGCGGCAAGCUGCGAUAAUCCCCGGCGAGGAGCACACAUCCUUCGACCCGGGGGUCUCCGAAUGGGCGAACCCAUGCACAGCGGUGUGCAUAUCCCCACCCCGAACACAUAGGGGCGGGGAGGACAACCCGGGGAACUGAAACAUCUAAGUACCCGGAGGAGAGGAAAUCAAUCUCGAGACUCCCCGAGUAGCGGCGAGCGAAAGGGGACCGAUGGCCAAACCGUCGAGCGGGCGUACCCGGCAGGGGUUCCGCCGACGGGGUUGCAGGGCCGCGCAUCCGGGGGCUGCCGCCCCCGGGCGCAGGUCCGGCUGGGGAGCGGAACGGCAUGGGAGGGCCGGCCGCAGCGGGUGAAAGCCCCGUACGCGAACCCAGACCGGACGGCGCGACGCGGUCCCUGAGUAGGGCCGGGCACGUGAAACCCGGUCCGAACCUGGGUGGACCACCAUCCAAGCCUGAGUACUACCCUGUGACCGAUAGCGCACCAGUACCGUGAGGGAAAGGUGAAAAGCACCCCGGGAGGGGAGUGAAACAGUACCUGAAACCGUGCGCCCACGAGCAGUCGGAGCACCUAUACGGUGUGACGGCGUGCCUUUUGUAGAAUGAGCCAGCGAGUCGCUGGCGCGGGGCGAGGUUAACCGAAAGGGAGCCGUAGCGAAAGCGAGCCUUAACAGGGCGACUUGAGUCCCGCGCCGCGGACGCGAAGCCGGGUGAGCUAUCCGUGGGCAGGCUGAAGCGGGGGUAAGACCCCGUGGAGGGCCGAACGCACGUCGGUUGAAAACGGCGGCGAUGACCUGCGGAUAGGGGUGAAAGGCCAAUCAAACCCGGAGAUAUCUCGUUCUCCCCGAAAUAGCUUUAGGGCUAGCGUCGCGCGUUCACCGCCGGAGGUAGAGCACCGGAUGGACGAGGGGGCUUCGCCGCCUACCGAAUCCAACCGAACUCCGAAUGCCGGCGGCCCAGAGCGCGGCAGUCAGAGCAUGUGGGCUAAGCUGUGUGCUCGAGAGGGAAACAGCCCGGACCGCCCGCUAAGGUCCCCAAGUUCCAGCCGAGUGGCAAAGGAUGUGCGUCCGCCCAGACAACCAGGAUGUUGGCUUAGAAGCAGCCAUCCAUUCAAAGAGUGCGUAACAGCUCACUGGUCGAGUGGACAUGCGCCGACAAUACACGGGGCUAAGCUGGACACCGAAGCGGCGGGAUUUUAUCUAUAUAGAAUCGGUAGGGGAGCUUCCCAUGGGCGGCGAAGCCGCCGGGCGACCGGCGGUGGAGCGCAUGGGAGUGAGAAUGCUGGCAUGAGUAGCGAGAGACGAGAGAGUAACUCGUCCGCCGUGAACCCGAGGUUUCCUGGGCAAGGCUAAUCCUCCCAGGGUCAGUCGGGGGCUAAGGCGAGGCCGGUAGGCGUAGCCGACGCGCAGCAGGCAGACAUUCCUGCACCGCGCACGCGGCGCUACGACCGACGGGGCGACGGAUGGGGGUGGCUCGGCGGGGUUCUGGACGUCCCCGUGAUGGAGCGCGGCCCGCGGACCAGGGAAAUCCGGUCCGCACGAGGGCGAGGCUCCGGACGAAGCGAUCAAGCGAAGCGAGUGAGCCCGAGGUCCCUAGAAAAACCCCUAGGCAGGCGCGUGCGCGCCCGUACCGCAAACCGACACAGGUGGGUGGGUAGAACAUACCGAGGCGAUCGGGUCAACCAUGGUCAAGGAACUCGGCACAAUGGCCCCGUAACUUCGGGAGAAGGGGUGCCCGCGCGUACGUGAACCGGCUUGCCCGGGGAGCGGAGGCGGGCCGCAGUGGAGAGGCCCAAGCGACUGUUUACCAAAAACACAGGACUCUGCAGAAGCCGCAAGGCGACGUAUAGGGUCUGACGCCUGCCCGGUGCCGGAAGGUCACGCGGAGGAGUUAGCCGCAAGGCGAAGCCCCGAAGCCAAGCCCCGGUAAACGGCGGCCGUAACUAUAACGGUCCUAAGGUAGCGAAAUUCCUUGUCGGGUAAGUUCCGACCUGCACGAAAGGCGCAACGACUUGGGCGCUGUCUCGACCAUGGACCCGGUGAAAUUGCACUGGUCGUGAAGAUGCGACUUACCCGCGGAAGGACGGAAAGACCCCGUGAACCUUCACUGCAGCUUGGCAUUGGCCGCUGGUCCCGCGUGUAGAGGAUAGGCAGGAGGCACAGAUCCGGAGGCGCCAGCCCCCGGGGAGCCGCCCUUGGAAUACUGCCCUCGCGCGACCGGCGUCCUAACCCGAGGCCGUCAACCGGCUCGGGGACCGUGCCAGGCGGGCAGUUUGACUGGGGCGGUCGCCUCCUAAAGGGUAACGGAGGCGCGCGAAGGUCCGCUCGGGACGGUCGGCAACCGUCCUUUUGAAUGCAAGAGUACAAGCGGGCUUGACUGCGAGGCCCACAAGCCGAGCAGGUGCGAAAGCAGGCUCUAGUGAUCCGGCGGCCCCGAGUGGGUGGGCCGUCGCUCAACGGAUAAAAGGUACUCCGGGGAUAACAGGCUGAUCUUGCCCAAGAGUCCACAUCGACGGCAAGGUUUGGCACCUCGAUGUCGGCUCAUCGCAUCCUGGGGCUGGAGCAGGUCCCAAGGGUACGGCUGUUCGCCGUUUAAAGCGGUACGCGAGCUGGGUUCAGAACGUCGUGAGACAGUUCGGUCCCUAUCCGUCGCGGGCG